rnacentral:rRNA from 1 species
UAGAGUUUGAUCAUGGCUCAGGGUGAACGCUGGCGGCGUGCUUGACACAUGCAAGUCGAACGGUAUGUGGCAACACAUAGAGUGGCGAACGGGUGAGUAACACGUGGGAACGUAUCUUUUGCAGGGGGAUAACUGACCGAAAGGACAGCUAAUACCGCAUAAGUCCGGGAGGAGAAAGGUGCAACAGCAUCGGCAGAAGAGCGGCCCGCGGUCCAUCAGCUAGUUGGUGAGGUAAGGGCUUACCAAGGCGACGACGGAUAGCCGGCGUGAGAGCGUGGCCGGCCACAAGGACACUGAGAUACGGGUCCUACUCCUACGGGAGGCAGCAGUGCGGAAUUUUAGAUAAUGGAGGGAACUCUGAUCUAGCGACGCCGCGUGCAGGAAGAAGGUCUUCGGAUUGUAAACUGCUGUGGUAAGGGAAAAAUGCUAUGUAGAGUGGAAAGCUACAUAGAGGGAUGGUACCUUACUAGAAAGCCCCGGCUAACUACGUGCCAGCAGCCGCGGUAAUACA